rnacentral:rRNA from 1 species
UACGAAGGGUGCAAGCGUUACUCGGAAUUACUGGGCGUAAAGCGUGCGUAGGUGGUUUGUUAAGUCUGAUGUGAAAGCCCUGGGCUCAACCUGGGAAUUGCAUUGGAUACUGGCAGGCUAGAGUGCGGUAGAGGGUAAUGGAAUUCCCGGUGUAGCAGUGAAAUGCGUAGAUAUCGGGAGGAACACCAGUGGCGAAGGCGACUACCUGGCCUGUUCUUGACGCUGAGGCGCGAAAGCUAGGGGAGCAAACGGGG